AACGAACGCUGGCGGCAUGCCUAACACAUGCAAGUCGAACGAGACCUUCGGGUCUAGUGGCGCACGGGUGUGUAACGCGUGGGAACCUGCCCUUAGGUUCGGAAUAACUCCCCGAAAGGGGUGCUAAUACCGGAUAAUGUCUUCGGGCCAAAGAUUUAUCGCCUUUGGAUGGGCCCGCGUUGGAUUAGCUAGUUGGUAGGGUAAAAGCCUACCAAGGCGACGAUCCAUAGCUGGUCUGAGAGGAUGAUCAGCCACACUGGGACUGAGACACGGCCCAGACUCCUACGGGAGGCAGCAGUGGGGAAUAUUGGACAAUGGGCGAAAGCCUGAUCCAGCAAUGCCGCGUGAGUGAUGAAGGCCUUAGGGUUGUAAAGCUCUUUUACCCGGGAUGAUAAUGACAGUACCGGGAGAAUAAGCUCCGGCUAACUCCGUG
rnacentral:rRNA from 1 species